rnacentral:misc_RNA from 1 species
AAAAAAAAUUUCUAGUUUUCAAGCUGCAAAUCUAUAUCAUUAUUCCCUAGCUUAAAAAAAAAUACAAUAAAGCAACCACUACUGUUGACCUAGCAACAUAACUAUCCAGUCAUGAAUCUUAUUUAAGACAAGCAGCAAUUUUUCAUCAUAAAUUUUGAAUAGAAAUAUCUUCACCAUUCUUGUCAAGAUAAAGCAAGAAUAAGACACUACUUCAUUUUCAAUCAAACCAACCAAUCGAGCUGUCAACCCAAUUGAG